rnacentral:rRNA from 1 species
CAACUCGCCUGCAUGAAGUUGGAAUUGCUAGUAAUCGCGAAUCAGAAUGUCGCGGUGAAUACGUUCCCGGGCCUUGUACACACCGCCCGUCACACCAUGAGAGUCGAUAACACCCGAAGCCUGUGAGCUUAACCUUUUAGGAGGCAGCAGUCGAAGGUGGGGUUGAUGAUUGGGGUGAAGUCGUAACAAGGUAAC